rnacentral:rRNA from 1 species
UGGGGAAUAUUGGGCAAUGGGCGCAAGCCUGACCCAGCAACGCCGCGUGAAGGAAGAAGGCUUUCGGGUUGUAAACUUCUCCUAUGAGUGACGAAUAAAUGACGGUACCGCAGGAAUAAGCCACGGCUAACUACGUUCCACCAGCCGCGGUAAUACGUAGGUGGCAAGCGUUACCCGGAUUUAUUGGGUGUAAAGGGCGUGUAGGCGGGAGCGCAAGUCAGAUGUGAAAACUCAGGGCUCAACCCUGAGCCUGCAUUUGAAACUGUGCUUCUUGAGUGCUGGAGAGGCAAUCGGAAUUCCGUGUGUAGCGGUGAAAUGCGUAGAUAUACGGAGGAACACCAGUGGCGAAGGCGGAUUGCUGGACAGUAACUGACGCUGAGGCGCGAAAGCGUGGGGAGCAAACAGG